AUUUCAGUUGUGCAGUUAUCUUAUCUGAUCAAAAAUUUGGUGUUCUCCAAUGAAGUUUUCGCAUAAGCGAUAGUUAAAGCUGCAUAUUUUAAACACAGCUUUAAUAAACGAAACCGUCUGGUAACGGCCUAAGCUACUCUUCAUCAACUUCACCACUUGGCAGCACUGCACUUUGACAAGUCAAUAAAAGUGUAACUGUUGAAUGCCGUUAAGUGAAAAAUUGAACCGCAAUUUUAAAAAAAUCUGCGAUUUCAGCACAGCGAAGCUAAAUUUCAAUCAACUCACUUCUCGAAUCCAAAAAAUGUUUCCAACAUUUCAUUCAAACUGCCAUAUUCAGCACAUUUUGGCCUCAGCAGACUUCCUGUCCCCAGUGCCACUCGAGUACACACACAAACACAUCGAGGCAGGCAUAUAAACCGCCGCACAAUGCGAAAUGGAUCGAGUAUGGGCAAUAAAAUGUCAACUGGCAUUUAAAAGAGACUUAACUAUUUAAAUAAUCAAAUGGCCACG